rnacentral:lncRNA from 1 species
AUUGUCGUUUUGGUUUGAGAUAGGAAGAUGAGGGGAGGAAGGAGGUGAGGCGGUAAGGGGCGUUCUCUCUCUUGGGUCCCGCGCCCAACUUCCGCUGGCCCAAAGAAACUAUAAUUUUGAACCAACAGACCUCUGCUGGCAUCUGCGAUUGCAUUUUUCCUGUUUUAACAACGGCUGUGCUAGACGAAGUGGUGAAGCCCAAAGACUUAUUUUUGAGCUCGCUGUAAGACUGAGAAAUCACGUAGUCCUUCCUGAAACCACUAAGAGGAAAAAUGAUCUAAAGUGGGCAACUAGGCUGGGCACAGUGGCUGACACCUGUGAUCCCAGCACUUUGGGAGGCGGAGUCUGUGACACUGCAUACAGAUGUAGGUGAUAUUAAAAUUGAAGUCUUCUGUGAGAGGACACCCAAAACAUGUGAGAUGGAGUCUCGCUGUGUCCCCCAGGCUGGAGUACAAUGGCGCGAUCUCGGCUCACUGCAACCUCCGCCUCCUGGGUUCAAGCAAGUCUUCUGCCUCAGCCUCCCGAGAACUGGAAGAGGAGGCAACAGUAUUUGGGGCAAGAAGUUUGAGGAUGAAUACAGUGAAUAUCUUAA